rnacentral:rRNA from 1 species
CUAGCGGCAGGCUUAACACAUGCAAGUCGAGGGGCAGCGGGGAGGAAGCUUGCUUUCUCCGCCGGCGACCGGCGCACGGGUGAGUAACACGUAUGCAACCUGCCCCUGUCAGGGGGACAACCCGCCGAAAGGCGGGCUAAACCCGCGUACAUGCCACCGGGGCAUCCCGGAGGCAGGAAAGGCUUCGGCCGGACAGGGAUGGGCAUGCGGCGCAUUAGGCAGUAGGCGGGGUAACGGCCCACCUAACCGACGAUGCGUAGGGGUUCUGAGAGGAAGGUCCCCCACACUGGUACUGAGACACGGACCAGACUCCUACGGGAGGCAGCAGUGAGGAAUAUUGGUCAAUGGUCGGGAGACUGAACCAGCCAAGCCGCGUGAGGGAGGAAGGUACAGAGUAUCGUAAACCUCUUUUGUCAGGGAACAAAGGCGGGGACGUGUCCCCGGAUGAGUGUACCUGAAGAAAAAGCAUCGGCUAACUCCGUGCCAGCAGCCGCGGUAAUACGGAGGAUGCGAGCGUUAUCCGGAUUUAUUGGGUUUAAAGGGUGCGCAGGCGGUCUGUUAAGUCAGCGGUCAAAGCCCGGGGCUCAACCCCGGCCCGCCGUUGAAACUGGCAGUCUCGAGUUGGAGAGAAGUAUGCGGAAUGCGCGGUGUAGCGGUGGAAUGCAUAGAUAUCGCGCAGAACUCCGAUUGCGAAGGCAGCAUGCCGGCUCCACACUGACGCUGAGGCACGAAAGCGUGGGUAUCGAACAGGAUUAGAUACCCUGGUAGUCCACGCAGUAAACGAUGAAUGCUGGCUGUCCGGGGGGAUUGACCCCUGGGUGGCGAAGCGAAAGCGAUAAGCAUUCCACCUGGGGAGUACGCCGGCAACGGUGAAACUCAAAGGAAUUGACGGGGGCCCGCACAAGCGGAGGAACAUGUGGUUUAAUUCGAUGAUACGCGAGGAACCUUACCCGGGCUCAAACGGGGAGUGACUCAGGCAGAGACGCCUGUUUCCCACGGGACACUCCCCGAGGUGCUGCAUGGUUGUCGUCAGCUCGUGCCGUGAGGUGUCGGCUUAAGUGCCAUAACGAGCGCAACCCCCGCGUGCAGUUGCUAACAGAUAACGCUGAGGACUCUGCACGGACUGCCGGCGCAAGCCGCGAGGAAGGCGGGGAUGACGUCAAAUCAGCACGGCCCUUACGUCCGGGGCGACACACGUGUUACAAUGGGUGGUACAGCGGGAAGCCAGGCGGCGACGCCGAGCGGAACCCGAAAUCCACUCUCAGUUCGGAUCGGAGUCUGCAACCCGACUCCGUGAAGCUGGAUUCGCUAGUAAUCGCGCAUCAGCCAUGGCGCGGUGAA